GAGGAUCCAAUGCUGAUUCUAGAAAAGUUACCCCAAUUGAAAGAGGUUGUAUUAAGUGUGAAUGCUUUCAGUGGGAGGAGAAUGGUUUGCUCGGCCGGUGGGUUUCCUCAAUUGCAGAAGCUUGUGUUUGAUGGAUUAGAAGAGUGGGAAGAGUGGAUAGUAGAAGAAGGCUCCAUGCCCCUUCUUCAUACUUUGGAGAUUGCUCACUGUAAGAAGUUAAAAGAGUGGAUAGUAGAAGAAGGCUCCAUGCCCCUUCUUCAUUCUUUAAAGAUUAGGGAUUGUUGUUUGGAAGAGGAUCCGAUGCCGAUUCUAGAAAAGUUACCCCAAUUGAAAGAGGUUGAAUUAAGUGUGAAUGCUUUCAGUGGGAGGAGAAUGGUUUGCUCGGCCGGUGGGUUUCCUCAAUUGCAGAAGCUUGUGUUUGCUGGAUU
rnacentral:lncRNA from 1 species